CAAUUCUCAAAUAUACCAGACAGAUGUAGUAUGAUGCGGCCUCGAGGGGUUCUUCAUAGAUCUCAAUGCUGUACUCUUGUGCAUUCGUGAGAGUACAGCCACGACGUUGGCUCCUGGUGCUGAAGCAUCAAGAGCUGAAGAGGACUGACCCGAAGAAAAUGGCAGUCCUCAUGAGGGACAGGUUCAGGUAAGCAACACUCACCUUUUCCUGCCACUCUGGC